GACGAACGCUGGCGGCGUGCCUAAUACAUGCAAGUCGAGCGAAGUUUUUCUGGUGCUUGCACUAGAAAAACUUAGCGGCGAACGGGUGAGUAACACGUAAAGAACCUGCCUCAUAGACUGGGACAACUAUUGGAAACGAUAGCUAAUACCGGAUAACAGCAUUAACUGCAUGGUUGAUGUUUAAAAGUUGGUUUUGCUAACACUAUGAGAUGGCUUUGCGGUGCAUUAGCUAGUUGGUGGGGUAAAGGCCUACCAAGGCGACGAUGCAUAGCCGACCUGAGAGGGUGAUCGGCCACACUGGGACUGAGACACGGCCCAGACUCCUACGGGAGGCAGCAGUAGGGAAUCUUCCGCAAUGGGCGAAAGCCUGACGGAGCAACGCCGCGUGAGUGAAGAAGGAUUUCGGUUCGUAAAGCUCUGUUGUUAGGGAAGAAUGAUUGUGUAGUAACUAUACACAGUAGAGACGGUACCUAACCAGAAAGCCACGGCUAACUACGUG
rnacentral:rRNA from 1 species